GUGAGGAAUAUUGGUCAAUGGGCGGGAGCCUGAACCAGCCAAGUCGCGUGAAGGAAGAAGGAUCUAUGGUUCGUAAACUUCUUUUGCAGGGGAAUAAAGUGCGGGACGUGUCCUGUUUUGUAUGUACUCUGCGAAUAAGGAUCGGCUAACUCCGUGCCAGCAGCCGCGGUAAUACGGAGGAUCCAAGCGUUAUCCGGAUUUAUUGGGUUUAAAGGGUGCGCAGGCGGGUUGAUAAGUCAGCGGUGAAAGUUUGCAGCUUAACUGUAAAAUUGCCGUUGAAACUGUCGAUCUUGAGUGCAAAUGAGGUAAGCGGAAUGUGUUGUGUAGCGGUGAAAUGCUUAGAUAUAACACAGAACACCGAUUGCGAAGGCAGCUUACUGGGAUGCAACUGACGCUCAUGCACGAAAGCGUGGGGAUCAAACAGGAUUAGAUACCCUUGUAGUCC
rnacentral:rRNA from 1 species